GGGCACAUGGUGUAGUUGGUUAUCACGCUCGCUUAGCAUCGCAGUACGAUCUUGUCUGCGAGAGGUGUUGGGUUCAAUUCCCAAUGUGUCCA